UAAAAAGACAAAUAGAAGAUGAAAUACAAAUAUAAAAGGCUUCACCCCAUCCACUCCUCCCACCCUCCUCUCUAAAAUACACAAAACACAGGCUUAGCUAAGGUGAAAAUGGUUUUGGCGAGAUUAGUGGUGUCACUAAAGACUAAAUUCAAGUCGUUAAAGAUAUGGAAAGCGGUCGAUGAUUCAUACAAUAAGAUCGAAAAGAGUGAUAGCAUGAGGGUGGAAAUACGGAGCAGGAAAGCACGUAAACUUAUCGAGGAAACUCUCAAAGUCGCAGACUCUCCAAAGUGCACCAAAGCUUACUCGUUCUGAUGUUGUGGUAAUAAUAACAAUAAUAGUAACUGUGACUCCACACUAGUUAUGUUUCUGUAUAUGAUUGCAACUAGUAUUUUAUUGUAGUGGUAGUAACAAUAAUAAUAACUUUAUUUUAUGUUUUUCUAUAUA